GCAGCAGUAACUCAAAUAACUAUUGUUACCAUAGUAGACGAUGCAGAAGAGCAUCUCUGAAUGUUGAAUCUUGAAGCAGAUGGGCUUCAGCAGCAGGAGACCACACCAGCUGCCACUGCUGUCAGCUAAGAUCAGGAAACUGAGUUCACAGGUUCACCAAAAUUGGGCAACAAUAGACGGCGUCUGGUCUGAUGAGUCUCUGGAACUUUCAGAAGGUAGGAUUAGAAGUUGGUGUCAAUUGCAUGAAAGCGUGGCUCCAUCCUGCCUUGUAUCAUCAGUCCAGGCUGGUGGCGGUAUAAUGUUGGGGAUAUUUUCUUGGCAAACUUUGAGCCCCUCGGUACUAACUGGGCAUCAUUUAAAAACCACAGCCUGCCUGAGUAUUAAUGCCAGUCAUGUCAAUCCCUUUAUGACCACAGUGCACCAUCUGAUGGCUGCUUCGAGCAGGACAACACACCAUGUCAGAAAGCUCAGAUCAAACUGGUUUCUUGAACAUAAUGAGUUCACUCAACUCAAACAACCUCCACAGUCUCCAGAUCUCAGUGUGAUAGAGCAGCUUUGAGAUGCGGAAGAAGAGGAGAUUCAAAUCAUAGAUGUGUGAUGCUGUCAUGCCAACAUGGACCAUGAAGGUCAUCAGGUUUUCUUCGGAGUUGUGGUUGCAAUCUUGUGGUCUUUGCCAGAGGAAGAACCUGCAGGCCGAGCUAUCACUUACUGUAAACAUUGUUCUUCCUCCAGAGCCAGUUGAAACAGGAAAUGCCACCUAAAUUUAGGGUGGAUCUACUUACCCACUGGCUCAUCUUACCCCACUUUCCUCCAAGGACACGCUGACACUGUGUGUGUGUGGCAGGACAGAACAAACAGCUAAUAGGUUUCCACUGAUGAUUCUUCCACUGAUGAUUUGCUGUGCAUAGACGGAGAUCUGUUUCCUCCAUCACCUGUGUCUGGCACAGCCUCGUAGCCAUGGCUACCACAGCCAUUACACAAAAAGGUCUAACUUGCAUUAUUAACGCCCUUCACAUGAAUGCCUUCGGGAGCAUACCAUUUCAAGCUGAGGAAAAAGCAGACCUUGAAUGGUUUGUUAUUGGACUGCAGUGAAAAAGAAUAAAAGGACCAAAACUUCAA
ensembl:lncRNA